GCAUGCCUAAAACAUAGCGUUAAUGCACCAGAUCCCAUUAGAACUCCACAGUUAAGCAUGCUCAGGGUAGAUUAGUACUGGGAUGGGUGACUGCCCAUGAAGUCCUAGUAUUUUACAUGCC
rnacentral:rRNA from 1 species